UACGUAGGGGGCAAGCGUUGUCCGGAAUCAUUGGGCGUAAAGAGCGUGUAGGCGGCUCGGUAAGUCCGCUGUAAAAGUCCAGGGCUCAACCCUGGAAAGCCGGUGGAAACUGUCGAGCUAGAGUCCGGAAGAGGCGAGUGGAAUUCCUGGUGUAGCGGUGAAAUGCGCAGAUAUCAGGAGGAACACCAAUGGCGAAGGCAGCUAACUGGGCAUUAUCUGACGCUGAGGCGCGAAAGCGUGGGUAGCAAACAGG
rnacentral:rRNA from 1 species